rnacentral:lncRNA from 1 species
AGACAUAGUAUAAAUAAGUUGAACUAUCUUGCUGACAAUGCCUACUGUGUUUGGUAUCUUAGCGUAGUUCUAAAAGUGUUAUUAAAUGUCCUGGUGUUGGUAAAAAGCAUGAAGAUCAGCCGAAGGGGUCAGUUUGCUUGUUCGGGAAAUAAGGAGUGUGGGUAAGGUUCCUUCCAGUAACAACAAGAUGAGCAACAUCAGAAGCAGCAAAAGAAGUA